rnacentral:rRNA from 1 species
UACGGAGGGGGCUAGCGUUGUUCGGAAUUACUGGGCGUAAAGGGCGCGUAGGCGGCGCGAUAAGUUGGGCGUGAAAGGCCCGGGCUCAACCCGGGGACUGCGCUUGAUACUGUCGCGCUGUGAGUCCGGGAGAGGAUGGCGGAAUUCCCAGUGUAGAGGUGAAAUUCGUAGAUAUUAGGAAGAACACCAGUGGCGAAGGCGGCUCACUGGCCCGGUACUGACGCUGAGGCGCGAAAGCGUGGGGAGCAAACAGG